UUCUUCUUCAUCAUCAACUUAGAGUAAAUUUCUGAAAAAUCCCAUCCUCUUCCAAAGCAUAAAAUCAAUCUAAAAAAUUUUAAUUUACUUUUUCAUCCUAAGUUCAUAAACUUCCAUGAGUUAGGUACUAUUGUAGAAGGAGAACACAUCUAGUACUAUCACCAUCUCCAUCUCUUUUGGGUUAGAAGCUUUUUAUGAUUAAUUAAAGUAGCAUUAAGUGGAGGCUAGUUUGAAGUUCAUCCAACCAUUGAAGAACUUACUAGCUAAAAUGGAUCUUGGUUUUGAUUUUUUGAAAUUUUGUGUGGAAUUAAUCUUGCUCAAAGUCUUUGAUUGGGUCUAUCCCUUACGAGGGAUAGAUCCAUUUUCAGGUUAGCUCUGCAGUGGAGAGUAUGCCUACAUGUAUUAUGUGUUACAGUCGAGGCGAGGAUUUCUUUUGGAAAUACAUUUUGCAAACUAGUUAUUCAUAAAUUAAAUUGUACUAAUUUCAUAAUCUUUCGUAAAUAGUAUUUACUUAUGUAUGUAAAAAGUUUUAAAUAACUCUGAUAUUAGUUGUGUGAUCAUCGAAUCACAGGUCAGAUUCAGUCCAGACCACUAUAAGUCUUCCGCUGUGUUGUGGACAGAAUUAUUAUACUGUUUACGUUUGUUUAGGCUGUUUCAAUAGGCAUUAACGAUACGAUAAGUAAGCAUUAAGAAUAAUGUAAGUAGGCAUUAAAAAUAGGAUAAAUAGGCACUAAUCUUUAAUGGGCUAGGCUUGAGAUACGUCUCUCAAAGAGACGGUCUCUUAAGACACUUGCUGAUCUCUAUUAGGUUAACUCAAAGUACAUUUUCAACAUCAAAAUGAUUACUUUUAGUCUUAAAGUGAUAAAUUGACAGUUAUAACCUGAACAUGGUCACUUAUAGUGUUAAAUUAAUCACUUACAAUCUUAAAAUAAUCAACCUUAACCACUGAGAGAUCACUAGUUAUAAAAUACGCUGAUUGUAUAGGCCUAUCUCAUGAUGAGACGAUCUCAUAAAAAAAUUGUUUGUUUGUUUUCUUUACUUUUUUGCAAUUAUUUACUUCCUCCGUUUUCUAAUGUUUUUCCUGUUUAGAAUAUUCUAUUUUGGAGAGAGAAAUUUGAUUAAGAUUUUUAAGACAUAUAUCGAUAAUAAAAUAAAUCCAUAUGAGAUCUUGUUAGAUUCAUCUUAAUGUAUAUUUUUUAUAAUUUUUUAUAAUGCGUAUUUAGAGAUAUUAAGGUUUCAAAUUUACUUAGAAAACUGUGCAAAAAGUAAAUAGGAAGAACAUUUGUAACGGAGAGAGUACUAAUCAUCUUAAUUUGUAUUUUUCUUUUCUUAAUUUAUAAGUUAUAACAGUCAAGUGAGUUUGUUUUGUCUCAAUAUAAAUUCAAUAAUAUCAACUUUGUUAUACUAAUUAAUCAUACAUAAUUAUACAUAUAUUAAAUUAAAAUACUGAAUAGGAUAGAAAACAAAAAAUAAAUAUAAAUAAGACAAUAUAAGUGAAUAAGAUAGAGUUUUACAUUUCUCAAUUUUAAAUGAAAAACUCAAAAAGUAUAUUUUAAGAAAGGAAUUUUUUAAUUAUAUAAUAGGGCUAGAGAAAAAAAGGACUAAAUGAAAAUUAAACUCGAUACUAUAUUUAAAAAAUUAUACUUACUUUCUAACCGAAACAAAUUCAAUUCUUAUUAAGAAAAUAUUAAGAUAAUUAAAUUCGUAGCGAAUUAGUCUAUAAAAAAAAUAUAACUUCGCUUAAUCUAACGGUUGAUGUUUGGUCAUACAAUCUUAAAUUCUUGGAAUCAA